AAAAUGGCAAAGCAACAGUUAAUUACCACCUCCACCCACAGAUGGACCAGCAUGUCUGGACUUUCACACUUACAAUAGGUGGUGAUCUAACUAUCAGCUAGAAAUGGUAGCACUUCACAGACUUAUGCAGAGGGAGAGGAUCGCUUCAGUAUUGCAGAGGAAGUCUCCCCUGGUGUCUUCACUUCAGAAGUUCAACUCAAACAGCGGGGACAACUACUGGAGUGUCCUCAUAUUUGAAAGCUAGAGGAGCUUUAAUGUCUAGCAGCAAGUUCCCCACCAGGGAGAACAGAUCCUCUCGAACGGUGGCACAAAUUCAAAAGUCAACGAAAAGAGGCGGUGUAGGGAAUCUCUGAAAAGCAAC